AUAGGUGUUCAAAACGAGAAGGAUGGGUGUUUGUUGCGGAGCUGCUCCUGGAGGAGAUCUUGCAUAGCUGAGUCGCAGUUCAAUGCAGUUGAUCCAGUAGAGGAAAAAUUUUUAAAGAGAAGCUUUGUUGUCAUCGUACCUUUUACACGACGCACAAAAUUCCACAUUUUAGGUCCUUUUCAAUUUUCCAAAUAUUUGACAAGACAAAGAAAGGAUGUGGAUGAAGAAAAGUGGUCCCAGCGUACAGUUUUUUUUUAUAAAUUUUUUUUUCUUUUUUCUCAUUUUUUUUUUAUAAAAUUUUUUUUUGUGCUCCCAACCUUUCGCAGAAGUGCGAGCAAGAAAAAGGGAUCUUUGGGAGUUGACCUGAAGCGCUCGAGAAGUGGCGAUUUUACUAUUGUCCCAACGUGGGAUUCGC